AGCAGUAGCCACGGGAAUACGAAGGGGGCUAGCGUUGUUCGGAAUCACUGGGCGUAAAGCGCACGUAGGCGGACAUUUAAGUCAGGGGUGAAAGCCUGGAGCUCAACUCCAGAACUGCCCUUGAUACUGGGUGUCUCGAGUCCGGAAGAGGUAAGUGGAACUGCGAGUGUAGAGGUGAAAUUCGUAGAUAUUCGCAAGAACACCAGUGGCGAAGGCGGCUUACUGGUCCGGUACUGACGCUGAGGUGCGAAAGCGUGGGGAGCAAACAGGAUUAGAUACCCCGGUAGUCCCUGUCUCUUAUAC
rnacentral:rRNA from 1 species